rnacentral:rRNA from 1 species
UACGGAAGGUCCAGGCGUUAUCCGGAUUUAUUGGGUUUAAAGGGAGCGCAGGCGGACCUUUAAGUCAGCUGUGAAAUACGGCGGCUCAACCGUCGAACUGCAGUUGAUACUGGAGGUCUUGAGUGCACACAGGGAUACUGGAAUUCAUGGUGUAGCGGUGAAAUGCUCAGAUAUCAUGAAGAACUCCGAUCGCGAAGGCAGGUAUCCGGGGUGCAACUGACGCUGAGGCUCGAAAGUGCGGGUAUCAAACAGG